AAUAAGUCCCCAAAUAUCAAUACCCACCAAACCUCCAAAACUCCAUCGAUAUUCCCAAAGCCUUGUUGUCUUCUUUGCCAUACCAUAAGAAAAAGUACCCAGAUCUGAAAAUUGGGUUUGAGUUAAUGUUUUAGAUCUGAAAAUUUCCCAGAAAAACUUUAUGGAUGAAAUAUUGGAUGGUUUUAUAGUGCUUGAAAUCCGGUUGCUUUGAUUCCCAAAUCGCACCUCGACUUCUCGACUGCUUGAAGGGAAAGCUAAACCCAAAUUCACCUCGACUGCUCGACUAUUCGACUGCUUGAAGCCAAAAAUUGGGAAAAGACGAAAGUCAAAGUUUGCAACUGAAAUAACAAUACAAAUAGGUACUCCUUGAACAACCACUUUCGUUACUUUCAUGUGUUUCAUAUUUCAUGAGCUUUCUUUACAAAUUCUUGAUUUUACCUUCUAAUGGGGUUUAAUUUUCAUAGUGAUUAGUAGCUCUCUAUAGUUGUAGAUUUGGUUGUAUUUGGGUAAAUAGGGUUGUAUACUGCUACUACAUCUCUCAUGGUUUUUUCCGAUUGUUUUUUCAAUUUCUCAACAGCAGAUUUGUCGAACUGUAGAAUUCUUUGUUUACUGGUAGUGUAAGAAGAAAUCAUUAUUGGUAGCUGAGGAGAAAUUGUUGUUGGUAGCUAAGGAAAAAAUUGUUAUUGGUAAGUAGUUUUUAAUUUAAAUUUUGGAUAAUUGAAUUUGCUGGUAGUGUACUUGUAUACUUCUUAUUUAAGAUUUUUUAUAAUUUUAAUUUUCUCUGUAUUUUCUUCCUUCUCCAUUCUCAAGGCUACUCCUCGGAUUAGGGUUCAGUUUUGGGGUUUUCUUAUAUAAUUGUUGGUUGAGUGCUCUCCAACUUCUAUGUUGUAGGAUGAUUUGAAUUAUUGGGGGUUUGAGGAUCCGAGUUUGUUUGAUUAAGAGGGUUUAUAAUUUUAUGCUUUUAUUUUGGGUUUAAACUAGGAUUUCAUGUAUCUUGAAUCUCAACAAAUUAGCUGCUUUAAGUAACUUUUGAAAAUGCAUAUCAUUGUUAUGACAGCGAUAUUGAUUUCUACAAGGAAAUGGCUUCAGUUUUACAAAUAAAAGUUUCAGGUAUAUGCACAGAACAAGUAGGAACAUAUCAUUACUGGAAACAUUGCUAUAGCAGAAUCAUAGUCGUUAUAAGUAUGAAAAAUGGGUUAAACGACGUAUAAAGUCAAUCAUCUAGAAGUCCUAGCAAUUAAGAAAUUAAGAGAGGUCUGCUGCAUUUCUCCUAUAAUAGAAGUAUGGAAAUAUGGAAAUGUUUAGAAGGAAAGCAAAGUAAAGGACCGAAGUAACGUGAGAUUGGUAACAAAAAGAUACACCAUGGCUCAUACUACCAAACAUGACACCAUCACCAACUGCCAUAUUUGUAGGUAUACCAAGUAAAUCCAUUUACAGUAAUAUGCUUGCUGAUGUAUAUCCAAUAGUAAGAACAUUUUUGAAUCGUUUGAACAUUCAAAAUAACACUAAUAACAACAGACGGUGCUCAGAAUUUAUGCUUUACUAUUUGUAACUCCUUGAGUUCAUCCACUUUAAGCUUUGGUCAAAGUCAAAUUAGUAUGUACCUUGGUUUAUUGAGUUAAUUCUGUUGAUUUACUUUUAUCGUAUAGGAUUUUCAUGGAUAAUAUAGAUAAAAAUUGGAUGUAUCUCUUAAGAUGGACGGAUCCCUGGAGUGAAUGAUUUCCUUGAUAAGGCAUUUGAAUGAGCUUCCCAAGGAAAUGAAAUAUUAUGCCCUUGCAAAAAAUACAUUAAUCGUUAUUGGCAUUAUAGAAAUGUGGUGGAGGAUCACUUGGUUGUUAAUGUUUGUUGAUGGUUACACCGAAUGGGUUUUCCAUGGUGAAGGAUUUUCCUCUAGAAUUACACCUCGUCAAAGCAAUAAUAAUGAAGGUUCUAACAUGUGUGAUGAUAUUGAUGGAUUACUUCAUGAUACAUUCAGAAAUGUAGAAGGUGAGCCGGUAUAAGAAGAAGGGAUGAGAGAGGCUCUAUCUGAAGAUGCUAAGAGAUUUUUCAAAUUAUUAGAGGAAGGAAAACAAUAAUUAUAUCCAGGGUGUGAAAACUUCAAUAAACUGAGUUUCACCAUCCGGUUGUACUUGUUUAAGUCUUUGCAUGAGUUGAGUAAUGUAGCCUUUUCAGACUUGUUAGAGUUGAUAAAAGAGGCAUUUCCCUUUGCUAAGCUGCCAGAGUCUUUCAACAAGGCUAAAAAUAUGAUAAAAGAUUUGGGUCUUCAUUAUGAUAAAUUACGUGCAUGCCCUAAUGAUUGCAUGCUAUUUUGGAAUGACAAUGCAAAGACCGAUAAUUGCUCUAUUUGUGGGUCUUCUAGAUGGAAACGUUCUAAUCGUGCCUUGACUAAUACAAGUUCUAAAGUUCCUGUAAAGGUUUUAAGGUACUUUCCCUUGAAGCCUAGGCUUCAGAGGAUAUUCAUGUGUCCUGAAACAGCUAUUGCAAUGAGAUGGCAUGCUAAUGAACGACCUAAUGAUGAGAAUUUGAGGCAACCCACUGAUGGAGAAGCUUGGAAGGAUUUUGAUUCUCUACAUCCUGACUUCUCCAAAGAUCCACGUAAUGUUAGGUUGGGUCUUUCAAGUGAUGGUUUCAACCCAUUUCGAACCAUGAGCAUUUCUCAUAGCACGUGACCUGUCAUGUUAAUGAACUAUAAUUUAUCACCAUGGAUUUGCAUGAAGCCAGAAUAUAUCAUGUUGUCAAUGAUCAUUCCAGGUCCUUCAUCUCUAGGAGAUGAUAUAGAUGUGUACUUACAACCACUUAUUUCAAAUUGAAGGAACUAUAGGAAACUGGGAUAGAAACAUAUGAUGCUAAGACAAAGCAAACAUUUCAAAUGCAUGCAGCCUUGUUGUGGACAAUUAGUAUGACAAUCCAGUUAGUCGUCUCACGAGUUAUCGCUUCGUUUCUCCCAUUUCUACUUCUAAUUGCUUUGUAUUAUGUUUUUAUAUCUGAUCGGGUUGAUUGGUUAGGGUUCGGAAAGGAUUUGAUAAGGAAUUGAGACAAUUAGUCUCUUUAGAGUGAGUUUAAGUUGGAAAAGUCAACUGGAUGUUGACUUGUGAGUUAGAGGGCUCGGAUUUGAAUUCCAAUGGUUCGGUUAGCUUUGGGAGGUGAUUUGGAACUUAGGAGCGCGAUCGGAAUGAGUUUUGGAGAUGUAGAGAAGAUUUAAGCUUGAAUUGACGAAGUUGAUAUUUUGGCAAUUUUCGGUUGGUAGGUGAAAUUUUGAUAUAGGAGUCGGAAUGGAAUUUCAAGAGUUACAGUAGCCCCGUCGUGUCAUUUGGGAUGUGUGUACAAAAUUUCAGGUCAUUUGGACGUGGUUUGGUUGAGUUUUUGAUCGAAAGCAGAAAUUGGAAGAUUUUGGAAAGUUUGGCUUGAAUCCGAUGUGUUUUGGGUGAUUUGAUGUUGUUUGAGGUAUUUUGAUGAUUGGAACAAGGUUGAAUAAGGUAUUAGGAUGUGUUCGUGCCUUUGGUUGAGGUCCUGGGGGACUCAGGUGAGUUUCGGGUGGUCAUUCGGAUCAUUUUGAAGUUGAAAAGAUUGCAGAAAUUGCAGGUUCAGCUGUUGCAGAACUUUGCCCUUCGCGAUCGCAUAGGGAGUCCUGCGAUCGCAUAGAAGUUUUGAGGAGGUCGUCCAGUGGUUCUUCAUGUUCGCGAAGGUUGGCUUGCGAUCCCAUAGAAUGGAGAGGUUAUUCAUCGCGAACGCGGGAAUGUGGUCGCGUUCGCAUAGAGUUAAAUGGACCUGGGGCUUAACUGGAUUUUUGAUCAUUGUGAACACGGAGGGAUGUCCGCGAUCGAUUAGGGUCAGUCGCCUGGGCAUCGCGUUCAUAGGGCUAUUGAUGCAUUCGCGUAAGAGAAAUUUUGGGAGCUGAAGAUUUGUUCUUCGCGAUCGCGAGGGAUGUUCCGCGAUCGCGAUGAAGGAAAAUAUGUCUGGGCAGAAGGUUUUUAAACUCGUCUUGUCCGCGAGGAUUGGGUUUAUUUCUUCCAUAGUGGAUCAUUUUUGAAGAUUUAUGAUGGAGAUUGAAGAGGGAUUCAAGGGGAAUCACUUGAAGGUAAGAAUCUCGGACUUAAAACUCGAUUAUUAUGUGAAAUCCACCUAGAAAAUGAUGGAAUUUAAGCUAAAAAUUGAAGAACUAGGGCUUGGAAAUUUGGACUUUUGAUUGGGGAUUUGGAGGACCAUUUGGGGUCGUAUAUGAGAACUUUUGAUAUGUAUGAACUCGUGGGGAGAUAAGGAACCCGAUGAUGUGAAAUUUCUGAAUUUCGAAACGUUGGCCCAGGGGUCGGGUUUUGGUAAUUUCGGGAUUUGUGCCCUUUAUGAUUAUUUUUGCUUGGGCUUCAUUCCCUUAGCAUAUUUUGACGUCCUAGUUCUGAUUUUGGAUAGAUUCGACGUGCGUGGAGGCUAAUUCGAGGGGUAAAGGCGUCACAAGCUAGAGAUUUAGCCGGUUUGAGAUGAGUAAUGAUUGUAAAUGAUGCUCUGAGGGUUUGAAACCCCGGAUUGCACAUCGUAGUGCUAUAUUGGAGUGAGACACACGCUCGAUGACGAGCGCGGGAUCGUGCACUAUUGGGGAUUGUGAUUUAGUCCAUCCCGAUUGAUGAUUUUACCGCGUAUUUGACUGAAAUCUAUUAGAUAUCAUCAUGAUUUGGGCUGAAUGCCAUAUUUGGGCCUUGUGCCAUCUAUUUGAGCCCUUCGGGGAUUUAUAUUAAUAUUUCCUCACCUUUUUUGAAUAUUUACUUGAAAUCAGUCAUGUUAUUUUACACUAUUUCCAUAUUCAGCCAUGUUUUACUCAGUUUUAACACUUAAAAGGAUAUUUUCAAUAAUGUUUGGGCUGAGAAACACUGUUUUAUUAUUGCCCGAACGACUUGUGAGGAUUUAUGACUGAGUAAGGCCAAGGGCCUAUAUUGUGAGAAAACACUGAUAUUGAUUUGGGCCGAGGGCCUAAGAUAUGUACACCACGAGGUGGCUUGAUAUUGAUAUGAGGCCGAGAGCCUAUUUAUGAUGCCACGAGAUGGCUUGUUAUUGCGCUUGGGCCAUAAGGGCCCCCUCCCAGAGUUUGUACACCCCCAGUGAGCGUGGGUACCCAUUGUGAUGUGAGAUUGAGCCCGAGGGGCUUGUAUUGUUCUGAGAUGUUGCCCGAGGGACAGUUUUAUUGAUACAGUGCCUGAGGGGCGAACCUUUACUUGUUUAUUUCUCCUUAACUGCCUGUCAAUUAAAUGCUUACUUGCUGAAAAAGGAUUUUUACUUAUCUUUUGACUGAUUUACUAUUUUUAAAUGAUGUUUUACUGUUUCAUUAAAAAAAAUUGUUGUGUGCCUAACGUGUUUUCUUACUUUCAGUCAUUAUUUACAUUUGUUACUCACUGAAUCGGAGUACUCACAUUACUCCCUGCACCCUAUGUGCAGAUUCAGGCGUAGCUGGUCCCGCUCCCGAGUGUUGAUCAUCUCCAGCUUCAGGCGGACAUUCGGAGUUCACGAGGUAGCUGCCUGGCAUCGUCAGCCCCGUGUCUCUACUCUUUAUCAUUUCUAUUUCCUUUCAGACAUUUGUACUGGUUUAUGGAUUUAGUCUACCUGUAUUUUUACUUAUAGAUGCUCAUGACUAGUGACACCCCGGUUAGGAUUGUGUAUGGAUGUUCUUCCGCAUAUUUAUGAUAUUAACUGCUAUUUCGGAUUUAUUUUAUCG
rnacentral:lncRNA from 1 species